rnacentral:rRNA from 1 species
UACGUAGGGGGCAAGCGUUUGUCCGGAAUUAUUGGGCGUAAAGCGCGCGCAGGCGGCGAUUUAAGUCUGGUGUUUAAACCUUGGGCUCAACCUGGGGUCGCACUGGAAACUGGGUCGCUUGAGUACAGAAGAGGAAAGUGGAAUUCCACGUGUAGCGGUGAAAUGCGUAGAGAUGUGGAGGAACACCAGUGGCGAAGGCGACUUUCUGGGCUGUAACUGACGCUGAGGCGCGAAAGCGUGGGGAGCAAACAGGG